rnacentral:rRNA from 1 species
UACGUAGGUGGCGAGCGUUAUCCGGAAUGAUUGGGCGUAAAGGGUGCGUAGGCGGUCGAUUAAGUCUGGAGUGAAAGGUACCGGCUCAACCGGUAUAGGCUCUGGAAACUGAUGGACUGGAGUACAGGAGAGGGUGGCGGAACUCCAUGUGUAGCGGUAAAAUGCGUAGAUAUAUGGAAGAACACCGGUGGCGAAGGCGGCCGCCCGGACUGUAACUGACGCUGAGGCACGAAAGCGUGGGGAGCAAAUAG